GACGAACGCUGGCGGCGUGCCUAAUACAUGCAAGUCGAACGCCGUGGGGACGGGUGAGUAACACGUGUGUAACCUCCCAUCAGAGGGGAUCACACUUGGAAACAGGUGCUAAACCGAUACUGAUGGAUCGACCCGCGGUGCAUUACCUAGUUGGUGAGGACACGGCUCACCAAGGCCACGAUGCAUAGCAGACAGGAGAGGGUGAGCGGCCACACUGGGACUGAGACACGGACAAGACUCAUGCGAGAGGCAGCAUGAGUUAAUCUACGGAAAUGGACAAAAGUCGGACCGAGCAACGACGCGUGAGUGAAGAAGGUUGUCGGAUCUUAGAACUCUGUUGUUAGAUAAGCGGUAUCUAACCAGAAGGCAAGGGCGAACGACGUGCCAGCAGCCGGGGUAAUAC
rnacentral:rRNA from 1 species